rnacentral:rRNA from 1 species
GUUGAACGCUGGCGGAAUGCUUUACACAUGCAAGUCGAACGGUAGAGGGGGCAACCCCUCGAGAGUGGCGAACGGGUGAGUAAUAUAUCGGAACGUGCCCAGUCGUGGGGGAUAACGUAGCGAAAGUUACGCUAAUACCGCAUACGAUCUAAGGAUGAAAGCGGGGGAUCGCAAGACCUCGCGCGAUUGGAGCGGCCGAUAUCAGAUUAGGUAGUUGGUGGGGUAAAGGCCCACCAAGCCAACGAUCUGUAGCUGGUCUGAGAGGACGACCAGCCACACUGGAACUGAGACACGGUCCAGACUCCUACGGGAGGCAGCAGUGGGGAAUUUUGGACAAUGGACGCAAGUCUGAUCCAGCCAUUCCGCGUGCAGGAUGAAGGCCCUCGGGUUGUAAACUGCUUUUGUACGGAACGAAAAGGUCUCUCUUAAUACGGGGGACUCAUGACGGUACCGUAAGAAUAAGCACCGGCUAACUACGUGCCAGCCGCCGCUGUAAUAC